rnacentral:rRNA from 1 species
AGAAUCAACGCUGGCGGCGUGCCUAACACAUGCAAGUCGAACGAGAAAGUGGAGCAAUCCAUGAGUAAAGUGGCGCAUGGGUGAGUAACACGUGACUAACCUACCUUUUAGUGGGGGAUAACCUAGGGAAACCUGGGCUAAUACCGCAUAAUACCUACGGGUCAAAGCAGCAAUGCGCUGGAAGAGGGGGUCGCGGUCGAUUAGUUAGUUGGCAGGGUAAUGGCCUACCAAGACUGUGAUCGAUA